UACGUAGGGUGCAAGCGUUUAAUCGGAAUUACUGGGCGUAAAGCGUGCGUAGGCGGCUUUUUAAGUCUGGUGUGAAAUCUCCCGGCUCAACUGGGAGGGUGCGCCGGAUACUGAGGGGCUAGAGUCCGGAAGAGGCGAGUGGAAUUCCUGGUGUAGCGGUGAAAUGCGCAGAUAUCAGGAGGAACACCAAUGGCGAAGGCAGCUCGCUGGGACGGUACUGACGCUGAGACGCGAAAGCGUGGGGAGCAAACAGG
rnacentral:rRNA from 1 species